rnacentral:sRNA from 1 species
AGCCUAAGUCCCGCAAGGGAUAUGGCACAAAAUCCUACGCGAAUAAAGAUGGUCUUCUGACCAGCACUUGUUACUUAGGUCUAUAUCCGAAAGGAUGUAGGGCGGUUCCGAAAGGAGCUGUC